UACGUAGGGCGCAAGCGUUGUCCGGAAUUAUUGGGCGUAAAGAGCUCGUAGGCGGUUUGUCGCGUCUGCUGUGAAAACCUAAGGCUCAACCUUGGGCUUGCAGUGGGUACGGGCAGACUAGAGUGCGGUAGGGGUGACUGGAAUUCCUGGUGUAGCGGUGGAAUGCGCAGAUAUCGGGAGGAACACCCGUAGCGAAGGCGGCACUCUGGGCCGGAACUGACGCUGAGGAGCGAAAGCGUGGGGAGCAAACAGG
rnacentral:rRNA from 1 species